GGUUGGGGGGGUUGACCGGGGGUUUUAAACAAUAGUUUGGAGGCUGUGUGAAGGGGGAAUCCCCGAGUGCGUCACUGGCUGGAAGGAGGGCCGGGACUCGGUACCCCGCGCCGGGGCCCCCGCUCCGCGCGGCCUGGACACACCCGGGCGCAGUUUUCACUCCCCCUCCCCCUGUGUUUUCGCGGGACCUGCGUAGGCCCCGCGCGUGUUCAUGGAAGGCGGAAACGGCUGGGGGGACCCUCUCCUUCCAAAGGGGUCUAAUCCUCGCCGCCAUGUCCGGAGGCUUCGAGCUGCAGCCGCAGGACGGCGGUCCCCGGGUGGCCCUGGCGCCCGGGGAGACGGUGAUAGGCCGCGGGCCGCUGUUGGGAAUAACAGACAAGAGAGUGUCCAGAAGACAUGCCAUUCUUGAGGUAGUGGAUGGUCAGCUUCGAAUCAAACCGAUACACACAAAUCCAUGUUUUUAUCAGUCUUCUGAGAAGAGCCAGUUCUUACCAUUGAAGACGAAUCUGUGGUGCUGGUUGAAUCCUGGAGAUAGCUUUUCUUUAUUGGUUGACAAAUACAUUUUCCGUGUUUUCUCCACACAUUCUGAAAUGGAAAUGGAAUGUACUUUAAGGAACAGUCAGAUGCUUGAUGAAGAUGAAUUGAAUGAAACACCAAAAUCUUCCUCAGUUGAUUUGCCUGAUGAGAUACCGCAGCCAGCCCCACAGCUGGAAAGAGGCAUAGAAAUAGUAAAGACCCAAACCACUAUGAAUAGUGUGUCUUUCCUAGGUGAAAGUAGAGACUUCAGUAAGCAACAGCCAAACCCUGCCCAGAGGAAAAGAAUCCUUCCGGCAUGGAUGUUAACAGAAAAUCUAAGUGAUCAAAACCUUUCAGUAGCAGUUAUCAGUGGAGAUGGUGAAACCAAAGCUCAGAGAGAUAAUAAUUUAAUCCGGGAAAGUGGAAAAGAAGAAAUCUGCAAAGAUAAGACCCAAGUAAACAUAAAACAUCAAGGAAGAAAACGAUUAAUUUCAUCAGGAAGUUCAGAAAGUAUAUCAGCAGAGCAAGACACAGGAAAAAAAUGUAAAGAUGCUGAUUGGGAAGAGUCUGUCAUUUCAUCCAAGGAAAUGCCACAAUCACGUUUUACAAACACAUUACACAAUACAGAAGUGAAUAAAGUGAAAACUAAUACACAGAGAAAUGAAACCCCGGUAGAGGAACUUGGUGAGGUUUCUGAACAAAAAAUCACUGCUAAGGGAACACCAAAUAAAGUCGACAAGGUGAGGAGCUGUGCUGAGAGCUGUUCAAGUGCCCAAGGCACAUCCUCCCUGGACGAAUCUCAAAGGUCUCAUCCUGAGUCCAGCUCUCAUCCUUUCAAUCCUGAAACUUUGCAUGCAGAGGCAACCAGGUCAGUUCCACAGGGUUCUGAAGAAAACAAGCUCAAGAGGACAUCUUGCAUGUAUGGGGCAAACUGCUACAGGAAGAAUCCUGUCCAUUUUCAACACUUCAGUCACCCUGGUGAUAGUGAUUAUGGAGAUGUACAUGUCACGUGUCAAGAUGAGGCUGAUGAGCGGCCUGAAUGUCCUUAUGGAGCAUCUUGUUAUCGAGUACUGGUCUGCCAUGAUGUCCUGCACCCUUUUCAGAAGCAAAAUGCAAAUGUGUCUGUUCUCCAGGAGAAUAAAAACAAAAUAUAAAGCCUUGCUAAGAAUAAUGAUGUCAGAAAUUGCUGCCUGUAUUUCAUCAGUCUCUUUAAAUGAAGGCAGAGUAGUCAAGAGAAAUUACUCAAAGGAAGAAUCCCCAGCACAAGAUCGAAUAUAGACAUAGUACAUUUCCAGUGAGAAGCAUUUCAGACGAAGAUGACAGUGUUGGGCAACCCAAUGAGUAUGACCUGAAUGACAGCUUUAUAGAUGAUGAGGAAGAGGAAUACGAGCCAACAGAUGAAGAUUCCGACUGGGAACCAGGAAAGGAAGACCUAGAGAAGGAAGAUACGGAAGAGCUUUUAAAAGAAGCAAAAAAGUUUAUAAAAAGAAAAAAGUAACUCUUCUCUGCAUAGUAUAUGGCUCAUAUAUAAUCUUUUCUUAGUGGAAAAAUAAUUCAGGAACUAAGGAAGCACUUAAAUGAUCACUGUUUUCCUUCUUCUUAUAACUUUACUGUUGACCCUUUGCAAAUGAAACACUGAAAAAAGUCAGCCAUCAGUGUAGUAAAUGGAAUUUGUUUCAUUGCUUUCCUUUUCCAUCCUAUUUAAAACAUCUGGAAAUGGUAAGAGAGUUAUAAAGAAAAAUAAUUGAUAUUUUUCAUAUACUUUGUGUGUUAGUAAUAAAAAGUAAAAGCAAUAGGUUGUAUAAAACUUUGGUCUUUUUUUCCCCCCAAGAUUUUGUCUUUACAUAGAAUACUAUGCAAGCGUAACCAGGCAAAUUACAUAAUUGAUGGGAAAGCAUGCUUCUUUCGAAUUCCUAUUAAAGUAAUUCUUCAAACAGAAUUAGACUUAAAAAAAUAACAUCCAUCAUAUGUAAUGGCUAUGAUUUUCUUCUAGUACUUUAUUUUGCAGUUUUAUCUGCAACUUUUAUUCUUUGAAACUUGGGGGAUUUAGUAGUAAAUGGAUACUUAAAAAUAGAUUCAACUAGACUAUAGAAGAGAAACGUCCACCAUGCAGGGAAUGUUAUUUUGUGUCCCCAGUCUGUAAUUUACUGAGUUUAAAAGCAGAAAAACUCAAAAGAAUUUGACCAUUUCUUUCUCAGACUAAAGUUCUGCCUGAUUAUUUUAACUCUCAAUGUGCUCUCUUUACAUUAAGAAUAUAGAAAUUAUUUUUAGCCAUAAUUUUCUCAAAUGAUAUUUCUUUUUUUAUCCUCAGUUGAAAAUAGCAAGUUGUCUGCCAGCAUUCAAGAUUUUGGCCUUUUAUAUUAAGAAGAAACCCCUUCUUCUUCCAUUUAAGUAGUAUAUCUCUGAAUCUCUAUUCUUAAACUACUUUAGGCCUUGUAAUACUCUUCAUUUUAGGUGACUUAGAAUCUUUGAAAUAUAGUUUAGAAUCUUUAAUAACAGGGUAUGUGUGCACAGAGCAGUAGAUAGAGUAUUGAAAUCAUAAAUCACUAAACCAAAAGUUUCCUCGGUAAACACUAAUAUUUUCCAUUCUAAGAGAACCUAAAAAUUCAUAUCUUAAAAGAGCCAGACAGAUUUAUAAUUGUUUUCCUAGUGUUUUAAAAUAUGUUUUCAAGUAAUUUCAGAAUAUUAAAAUUUACUUAAACUAUAGCUAGGAAAAUAUAAAUACUUCUCUAGGCUAUUAUUAUCUAUUAUUCUGACUUUGUCUCUUUUGUUAUUUAGGAACUAGUUUUCUUAUGUUCCUUUAGUCUUGGGAGCUUUAUAAACCUGUGAAAACAAUUCUUUGAACUUAUUCUUAUUUUGCACCAACUUAAUCCUUAAAGUAUUUCUUGAUCUACUCGUAGAUAUAUCCCAAAGGAAUUAAAAACAUGUGUCCACAUAAAAACUUGUAUACAAUGUCCAUAGAAACAUUAUUAAUAAUAGUCAAAAAGUAGAAACACUUAAAUGGCCAUCAGCUAAUGAAUGGAUAAACAAAAUGUGGUCUCUUUCUACAACAGAAUACUUUUUGUCCAUAAAGAAAGAAGCGAAGGAUUGAAACAUGCUACAGUAUGGACAAACCUUGGAAACAUUAUGCUAAGUGAAAGAAGUCAGACACAAAAGACCACAAAUUGUGUGAACUCAUUUAUAUGAAAUGUCCAAUGUAGCAAAACCAUAGACGCAGAAAGUAUGUUGGUGGUUGCCAGGGUCUAGAGGAGGGAGAGGAUAGGGAGUGACUCCUAGUGCAUAGAGAGUUUCUUUGUGAAUUGAUAAAAAUAUUCUAAAAGUAGUGAUGGUGCAAAACUGUAAAUACAAUAAAACACUGAAUUUACUCUAAGGGGGAAUUUUAUGGUGUAUGAACUAUAUAUCUCAAUAAGGCUGUUAUAAAAAAAACGCAAAAGGUGAUGGAUGCUAGGCUUUUAGAAAGAAAAGAAGCGUUCAGUAGCAAUAUAUUCUUCUUGGAAGUAGAGAAGUGUAGCUGUUUUUUUAAGGAUAGUUUGAUGUGACUUUCAUAAUCAUCCUGAGGACACUUUCGAGUAUAACUAAUAUAUAAGUACACAGUUUGACUAAAGUGUAAUGAAAAUUUAUAACUUGUAAUUGGACUGUGAUUGGAAUGAUUUUUCAAAAUGGAAAGCUGAUGACAUUUGUGAACUCAAAAGCAAUGUUAACAAAACUUGAUUCUUUAAUUGCUGUCCCUGACAGUAGAUAAGAGCCACCUCUCCCUAUCUUGGUUUGGUAUUCAUGGAAUUAAACUAUAGCCUAACCUUCUCCAUCAAGCUAAAAAUGAUCACAUAUGCAUUUCUCACCUAUGUAUUUCUCACCUAUGUGCUUAAUUCUAGAAGCCAGUAUUUUUGUUGACUGUCUUGAGGGGAGGUGGGUUUUCUGGGACCUUGGGAAGCUGUAGACAUGAAGACUUUUCGGUGACGCUUGAGCACUGAUGCUGUGUUUCCCCCAGGUUGAGGAUGGUCUUGUUGAUACUGCUGGUUUCUAGAAUUAGAAGAUCCUAGUGGUUGCAAACAUUCAUUUCAAUGAAAGCAAAUAGAUUUCAGCAUAACUUCUCCAGAAUGGUGAUAUAAAGCUGAGAAUAAAUGGAGAGUGACUUUCUUCUGAUUUAUCUGUGCAGAGUUACAUGUCACCCACACACCCGUGGAGAGAGAAAUCAUACGCAGACAUGCUGCAUCAAGCCCUUCUCUGUGAGACCAGCUCGUUCCCAUUAUUUCCUCUUUUUUGAGCAAGAAUCUAAAACUCUCUCUCUGGUUUCUUCCUGUCAGUUUGCAAACCUGAUUUAUGAAGCUACUCUCCUACAGUAGGUAUUGAAAGAAAAAUGAUAAAGAGUAAUAUUGCUGAGUUCCCGUUGUGGCUCAGUGGUUAACAAAUCCGACUAGGAACCAUGAGGUUGCGGGUUCCAUCCCUGGCCUUGCUCAGUGGGUUAAGGAUCCAGCAUUGCUGUGAGCUGUGGUGUAGGUUGCAGACGAGGCUCGGGAUCUCGCGUUGCUGUGGCUCUGGCAUAGGCCAGUGGCUACAGUUCCGAUUAGACCCCUGCCUGGGAACCUUCAUAUGCCACUGGAGCAGCCCUAGAAAGGCAAAAAGAAAAAAAAGGGGGGGGGAGUAAUUAUUACUGAGCUCAUUACUGGCCAUCCUUAUGUAAUGUACAUGAUAAACUUUGUUAACAUAAACAACCACAGUUGUGCUCUCUUUAUUACCAAGACCCUGUGGUAGGUACUGGUGUUUCAAAGAAUAACACAGAGUUUCUGUUUUCAGUGUCCUUACAGUCUAUUUGGGAAGAUAGGAUAUUUAUUCAUUCGGUAACAGUGACUGAACACUGUGGAGAAUACAGAAAGAAAAGAACCUGGGGUCUGCCGUCAGAGCUCACAAAGGCAGUGAGGCAAGUAUGCAAUCAACAUAAUGAGUAGAAAUGAAAUAGUCAGAAAAAGGAAUGCUGGAGUAUGAUUUCAGUGUCCUGUCUUGCUACAUUUUGACAUACGGUCUUGUCUUGAGGUAGAGCCUUUUUCUGAUUGAGUUGCGAGCUGAACUAGGAAAUGUUUUCAUGUAACAUAAUUUUUGCUUGAAAGAAUGACUGGCAGACAUACUAUGGUUAUUCAGACUUGAAUAUGUGGCAGAUGUUUCCUCAAAAAUGAAGCAAGCCUACUGUUUCAAGGAAACCAACAACAUAUGUUGUAAAAACUGAGCUUUCAAACAAAAAUUAGAAUUUUGGGAAUUCCUGUUGUGGCUCAUCAGUAACAAACCUGACUGGUAUCCAUGAGGAUGUGGGUUCAAUCCCUGGCCCCAAUAGGUUAAGGAUCCGGUGUUGCCAUGAGCUGUGGUGUAGGUCACAGAUAGAGCUUGGAUCUAGCGUUGUGUGGCUGUGAUGUAGGCUGGCAGUUGUAGCUCCAGUUUGACCUCUAGCUUGGGAACUUCCAUAUGCUGCAGGUGCAGCCCUAAAAACCAAAAACAAAAAAAGAAUUUCAGAACACCUGUAUCUGUCACUGUGACCUUGAUAGUUUCCCAAAACUUUAAAAACUGUUUUGAUGAUAUUAUCGGUGAUAUAGUACAAUGAAAUGUGUCAACGUUUGGAAGAUCUAUAAAACUGAGCAAGGCAGUAUUUUCCAAAUGACCAACGCGUGUUAUAAAAUCGGCGUGGGUAAACGAUCCAUUCAAGCAUAAGGUAGACUAGUGAAGCUUAAUGUAACAGAGUCUGUGAAGUUCAUUAACACGGUUUCAUAUUGCACACUGCACCUAACAUUUCAGAAGCUGCUGUCUAUUUUUGGUAACAUAUCGAAAAUAAUAUUCACAAUUAUCUGAAAAGCCUAUUAAAAUACUCCUUCCUUUUCCAACUACAUAUCUGCGUAAGGCCUAAUUUUCUCUACACACAUCAAGCAAAACAACAUACAAGGGCAGAAAUGAGAAUUCAGCUGUCUUCUAUUAAGCCAGCAUUAAAUUUGUAAAAGGGUGAAACAAUGCCACUUAUUUCACUGAAUUUAAAAAAUUGUUUUUCAUAAAAUAUAUUAUUUGUGCUAAUGUGUAAUGGGUUUAUUAUUUUUAAAUGCAUUAGCAAGUAGAUACUUUAAAUUUCUCUAAUUUCCAAAAAGGUAAGUAUCUAUAGAUAGGACCCUCAUAAACAAAAGCUCUUUGGAGUCCUCAUAAUUUUUAAGAGUUAAAGGAGUCCUAAAGCCUCAAAAUUUUGAGGACCACUCAAUUAGAUCACUCUACCAUUCAAUUAAGCUAGUUAUGAUGGGAUAACUCCAAAAUCUCAGUGCCUUAAUACAAGGAAAGUUUUCUUAUGCCAAGAUGUUCUAUGUUGGGUGACUCUCCAAGUAGUAGAGAGUCUUUCAUGUAGCAACUCAUCAUUCCAGGUUUUCAGAAGCUCUGUCAUCUUAUAGUUGCACCACUGGAACAUGAGAACUUAGUAAUCAUGCCUGCAUGGGACUAGAGAAGAUGGAGGAUUGUCCCCUGUUAAUUAAAUGCUUCAGACUGGAAGUGACACCCAUGCUCAAAAGUCCAUUGGCCAGAAGUUGUCAUGUGGCCUUGCCCACUGCAAGGGGACUGGGAAGUACAGUUUGGGUACCCAGAAAAGAUGAGAACCAGACAGAAUGAACACUAGUAAUGUCUAUGGUCACCAAAGGGCGAGUGAUAAAUAAAGAAGAGAAAGUUAAGGACAAGACCUUUGGGUGUCACCAUAUAAGGAGUGGGAGAUAAAGAAGACUCUUCAAAGCAGUUAGAGGGAGGAAAAGGAUGUCAGGAACUUGCUGUGUUGCAAAAACUAAAAGUAGAGCAGAGUAUUAAAAGAGAAAGUAGCCAACAUUGUCAGCUGAUACAGAAUGGUUACAAACCUAAGUACUGAGAUUAGAUUUGACUUGUUUAGAUAAGAACCUCCACAGACUCAGCUGUAUCUACCUGUUUCCUAGUCAUUCCCAUUUUCUCUCUGGUCUCUGAGAUAUUACAGAUGAAUCGUGUAUUCCUGUUUAUAGCUGAUCCCCAGAUUCAGUCACUUCUUGCUUGCUCCUGGAUAUUCCUUCCUUUCGCUCCCAUGUCAUUGGGUUUUGGCCUAUAUACUGAACCAUUUCCAUCACCAUAUAAAGAAUAUUUCUUCCAUCCCCAAAACAAAUGAAAAUCUUCUCUUGACUUUACUUGUCCCUACAACUUUACUAGUCCGUUUCUCUUCUCCAUUUAACAGCAAAAUUCCCCCAAGAUUGUCAUCUAUACUCGCUGUUACUAGUGCCUCUGCCCCUUUGAAACUCUUUCAAAUCAAUCCUUCCUUACCACUUCUCCAUCGAAACUGCCUUAGUCAAGGGCAUCAGUGAUCACUCUGCCAAAUCUAAUGUAUGAUCAGUUCUCAGCCUUCAUUCUUAGUGACUUUUUGAAACAUUUGAAGCAAUAAAUCCCUCUACCUCCUUGGAACAGUUCCUUGACUUCUAGGAAAUUAGGAUAUCUUGAGUUUUCUCUACCUUACUCCCAUUGUCCAUUGUUGAAUAUUUCAUUUUCCUAUAAGGUUUGUUGUUGUUGUUGUUGUUUUUCCACCCUCAUAGCAUGCAGAAGGUCCCAGACCAGGGAUUGAGCCCAAGCCACAGCAGUGAAAAUGCCAGAUCCUUAACCUGCUGAGCCACCAGGGAACUCUAUCCUAUGAGCUCUUAAUAUUAAGAGUACCCUGCAGCAGAGUCCUUGGACUUCAUUUUCCUAUGUAUGUUUAUUUGCUUGGUGAUUUCAUGCAACCUUGUAGCUUUUUUCUCUGUGCAGAUAACUCUAAAUUUGUAUCUCAAGCCCUGACCUCUUCCCUAAAUUCAAGGCUUAUAUACCCAAUUGUCUGCUCAACAUCUCCACUUGACUGUAUGACAGACAUCUCAGAGUUUACAUGUUCAUUACUGACUUCCAGUUGCCUUCCGUUCUCCCCUCAAACCUUCCUCUCCUCAUCAGACUAACCAACUUGAUGUUAUUCUUGAAUACCCACUUUCUCCCACACUCAGAAAAAUCUUGAAUAAGAAGAAAAAUAAGAAAUAAAAAUUAAG